rnacentral:rRNA from 1 species
CGGAGGAAAAGAAACCAACAGGGAUUGCCCUAGUAACGGCGAGUGAAGCGGCAACAGCUCAAAUUUGAAAUCUGGCCCUUUUUGGGGGGUCCGAGUUGUAAUUUGCAGAGGGUGCUUUGGCGUUGGCCCUGGCCUAAGUUCCUUGGAACAGGACGUCACAGAGGGUGAGAACCCCGUACGUGGCCGCCGGUCUUCGCCGUGUAAAGCCCCUUCGACGAGUCGAGUUGUUUGGGAAUGCAGCUCUAAAUGGGAGGUAAAUUUCUUCUAAAGCUAAAUAUUGGCCAGAGACCGAUAGCGCACAAGUAGAGUGAUCGAAAGAUGAAAAGCACUUUGGAAAGAGAGUCAAAAAGCACGUGAAAUUGUUGAAAGGGAAGCGCUUGCAGCCAGACUUGCCUGUAGUUGCUCAUCCGGGCUUCUGCCCGGUGCACUCUUCUGCGGGCAGGCCAGCAUCAGUCCAGGCGGUCGGAUAAAGGUCUCGGGAAUGUAGCUCUCUUCGGGGAGUGUUAUAGCCCGGGGCGUAAUGCGGCCAGCUUGGACUGAGGUCCGCGCAUCUGCUAGGAUGCUGGCGUAAUGGCUGUAAGCGGCCCGUCUUGAAACACGGACCAAGGAGUCUAACAUCUAUGCGAGUGUUUGGGUGUCAAGCCCGGGCGCGCAAUGAAAGUGAACGGAGGUGGGAACCCCUUGGGGCGCACCAUCGACCGAUCCUGAUGUCUUCGGAUGGAUUUGAGUAAGAGCAUAGCUGUUGGGACCCGAAAGAUGGUGAACUAUGCCUGAAUAGGGUGAAGCCAGAGGAAACUCUGGUGGAGGCUCGCAGCGGUUCUGACGUGCAAAUCGAUCGUCAAAUUUGGGCAUAGGGGCGAAAGACUAAUCGAAACAUC